GACGAACGCUGGCGGCGUGCCUAAUACAUGCAAGUCGAACGCAGUGGGGACGGGUGAGUAACACGUGGGUAACCUCCCAUCAGAGGGGAUAACACUUGGAAACAGGUGCUAAACCGAUACUGGUGGAGGGAGCCGCGGGGCAUUCGCUAGUUGGUGAGGUAACGGCUAACCAGGGCCACGAUGCAUAGCCGACCUGAGAGGGUGAUCGGCAACACUGGAACUGAGACACGGCCCAGACUCCUACGGGAGGCAGCAGUAGGGAAUCUUCGGCAAUGGACGAAAGUCUGACCGAGACACGCCGCGUGAGUGAAGAAGGUUUUCGGAUCGUAAAACUCUGUUGUUAGAGAAGCGGUAUCUAACCAGAAAGCCACGGCUAACUACGUGCCAGCCGCCGCGGUAAUUC
rnacentral:rRNA from 1 species